rnacentral:pre_miRNA from 1 species
GAGCAAAGUUGUUGAAUUCAGUGCAAACACUUGUCAAAGGAGCAGUCCCGAUCUGGUUCCAUCUUCUUUUCGUUGUCUGUUCGACCUUGGCUU